AACGAACGCUGGCGGCAGGCCUAACACAUGCAAGUCGAGCGAGGACUUCGGUCCUAGCGGCGGACGGGUGAGUAACGCGUGGGAACGUGCCCUUUGCUUCGGAAUAGCCCUGGGAAACUGGGAGUAAUACCGGAUGAGCCCUUUGGGGGAAAGAUUUAUCGGCGAAGGAUCGGCCCGCGUUGGAUUAGGUAGUUGGUGGGGUAAUGGCCUACCAAGCCGACGAUCCAUAGCUGGUUUGAGAGGAUGAUCAGCCACACUGGGACUGAGACACGGCCCAGACUCCUACGGGAGGCAGCAGUGGGGAAUCUUAGACCAUGGCGGAAGCCCUGAUCUAGCCAGGCCGCGUGAGCGAUGAAGGCCUUAGGGUUGUAAAGCUCUUUCAGCUGUGAAGAUAAUGACGGUACCAGCAGAAGAAGCCCCGGCUAACUCCGUG
rnacentral:rRNA from 1 species